UACGUAGGGGGCAAGCGUUGUCCGGAAUUAUUGGGCGUAAAGCGCGCGCAGGCGGCUAUUUAAGUCUUAUGUAUAACUCCAAGGCUCAACCUUGGAUCGCAUGGGAAACUGGGUGGCUUGAGUGUAGGAGAGGAAAGUGGAAUUCCACGUGUAGCGGUGAAAUGCGUAGAUAUGUGGAGGAACACCAGUGGCGAAGGCGACUUUCUGGCCUAUAACUGACGCUGAGGCGCGAAAGCGUGGGGAGCAAACAGG
rnacentral:misc_RNA from 1 species